AUGAACAGGAAAAACAUUUACAGUAAUUAAAAUUAUAAUGAAUCAUUACAAAUAAUAGUCAUUAUUUAAACGAGCGACAAGUAUGCAAUAUCUUAUACGUUAAACAACUUUUCGUUUAUUAUGCGCUGUCGCGGUACAUGAAAACUCUCGUGAAUAGCCAGCAGAUACAAGCCGCGCAACAUUGUGCGCGUAUAUAUUUUGUUAGUUUACUCGAUUAGAACCGGCAAAAUGGACGAUAUAGCACUUCGAGCAUCUGAUCAUGUUUUAGAAGUGAUUUUUUCUUAUUUAGAUUUACACACAUUGAAGAACUGUUCGUUGGUAUGCAAACGGUGGAAUCAAUUUUUAAAUGAUGAGAACAAUGAUGCGUGGAGAAUGCACUGUAUCAGAAAAUUAGCUCAAGAAGCUCUUAGUUCCGACUUAUUAUCAUCGGUGCCUACGUAUAAAUCGAAACUUCGUGCACUGUAUCAUGCGUGGAAUCCUAAUGACUGUUCUCGUAAUAUUUACAUUAAAUCCAAUGGAUUCACCCUUCACAGAAAUCCAAUUGCUCAAAGUACAGAUGGUUGUAGAGGCAAAAUUGGUUUUCGACAUGGUCGUCAUGCAUGGGAAAUUAUAUGGGAAGGACCUUUGGGUACAGUAGCAGUAAUAGGUAUAGCUACAAGAGAAGCACCUUUAAUAUGUCAUGGUUAUGUAGCUCUUCUGGGUUGUGACGAACAUUCGUGGGGUUGGAAUCUAGUAGAUAAUCAAUUGUGGCACAAUGGAAAUGUCCAAGGAAAUUAUCCUUUACUUAAUAAUGCUCCAAAAUAUCAGGUUGGGGAGAGAAUUAGGGUAAUAUUAGAUUGCGACGAUAAGACAUUAUCUUUCGAGAAAAAUUAUGAAUUUUUGGGAGUGGCGUUUAGAGGGUUGCCAGACAAAAGAUUAUACCCCUCUGUAUCUGCUGUAUAUGGAAAUACAGAGGUAUCUAUGGUAUACUUAGGACCACCUUUAGACGGCUAACACUAUACUUUGUGUAGAAACAUAUCCUCUGAGGCAUAUUCGAUGCUGUAUGGUGAAAUCUCUGUCUAAAGAAUAGUGCAUCAUACCAAAAUCUCUACUGCAAAGUAGAACUAGCACACUAAUGAACUGCUGUAUAAUACUCUUUAUGAAGGAUGUGUGCCUGUUCAGUCAGUCAAUAACAUUGUAAAUAGUAUUAGCACUUGAUUUAAAUUGAUAAGUCUGUCACAGAGCUUUAUAAUAGUCAUGAAUUACUUAAUAAUUGACAUUUAUAAAUUUCACUUACAAUCAUACCUUUGCUAAUAGUUAAUGUUGAAAAGGUCCAUAUAUUUAAUAAUGCAAUUUUUCAUUUCAAUUUUAUGAUGGAAAGUAUCUUUAUAUAGUAUCUUUAUAUGAAAAGUUGAGUGGCAUAUUACUGAUUUUAAAGAUAAUUCUACAAAGAGUUAAAUUAUACGAUUUUUAACAAAGAAGUUCCUUUGCGAAGUAAUUGUGUAUUGUAGUUAAAAAAAAAUACAAAUUAGAUUAUUUUUAUUUUAAAACAUUUUUAAGUCACAUAAAUCUAGUUUAAGUUAAUACAAAUGUACAUAAUAAUAAGGAUUUUCUGAGCCUUUACUCUUCCAUACAGUAUUGAUAUUCAAGUCCUUAUACGAAUAUAUGCUUUGUAUGCAUAAAUCUAUUAUUACAUGCCAAAAAAAUGGCAAUUCUUACAAUAGCAUAUAGUUUAUUUUAAUGGAUAUUAUCUAUCCAGAUAAUUUUGUGGUAACCUAGAAAGAUCUGUGAUUCAUUCCUAUUUUGUUAGCGUGUUUUUUUGUAUGCUAGCUGUAAAGAUAUUUUAUUUAUUUAUUUAUUUAUUUAUUUAUUUUGUAUGGUUCAAAAUUGUGGAAAAAGAAGAGACGAAAGAUGACUUUUUCACAAAUGUUAAAUAACGUUUCGUAUUUUAAUUUAUUCUAGGUAUUUAUUCACAUUUCAAAUCAAUAUCUAUUUUCCAAUGUUAAGAACUGAUAUAUGUAUAUAUAUUUUCUUUUAAUACCGAUAGAGCUCAAGUAGCAAAAUCUUCAAAUAAAUCGAGAAUAAUUUAUAAAAUAGUAUACAGGGUGUUCCGCUUAAAGUGUUCAUAGCUGCUUUAUUUCCAAAUGUACAAAGCAGUCUGUAAAAUAUUGUAUGGGAAGAAAUCUAAUCAAUUUGUACGAUAAUUAUAAUCUUUGUUCUUUUGUACUUUAAUAGAUAAUUUAGCUAAUUUUAUUUUAUUUUGAAAGCAUAUUAAAAGAACAAAUAGUAGUUAAUACAGUCCAAGUACCUGUGAAACUUAUCUACACAAUAUCAAGAAGGAAUAUUAUUAUUUUUUUCUGUGUAGUAAUAUGUGUGAUGAAAGUUUGUUUAAUUAAAAAAUUAAGUACUUCAUUUUUUGUGACAAAUGCACAAUGUGUCAUGUAUUUAACAUGAGACAGUUUUCUAAUUAGCUUAUGCAUUUAUUGUAAGAAAAUGUUGUAUUGGUUACACGUGAAAAUUGUACGUCGUGCUCUGUGAGAUAUAUUUAUAAAUAGUAAUACUAUCGAUGUAACUUGUUCAUUAUCAGGCUACGUAUGUGUAGCUUGUGAUGAAUCAGUUUUCCUAAACUUUUGUACAGAAUCGUGUACAUAAUAAUCAUGAAUAUAUGAGGAGAGAAUCAACCUUGUUUCUUUAUAGAAUCUGUUGGUAUCAGUUCCGGCACAGCUGUAACAAUAGAUAGGAAUGUCAACAUCGAUGAUCAUUACAUAUAAGGAAAAA
rnacentral:misc_RNA from 1 species